rnacentral:lncRNA from 1 species
GAAUGGUUCUGUGUCCUGCUCUGACUCUGCUGUUGGGUGUUGUGAGAGGACCUCAGGGAAGCUCUGAAUUCGAGACAUGGAUGCAGUGACUUAUGAUGAUGUGCAUGUGAACUUCACUGGGGAAGAGUGGAAGUUGCUGGAUCCUUCCCAGAAGAGUCUCUACAAAGAUGUGAUGCUGGAGACCUACUGGAACCUCACGGUUAUAGGCUACACUUGGGAAAACCAUCAAAUUGAAGGACAUUGUCAAAGUUCAAGAAGAAAUGAAAGGUAUGUAAAUAAUCAUAGUGGAGAGAAACUCUAUGAAUGUAAUGAACGUUCUAAAGCCUUUUCAUGUCCCAGUCAUCUCCAAUGUCAUAAAAGAAGACAAAUUGGAGAGAAAACACAUGAACAUAACCAAUGUGAUAAAGCCUUUCCAACACCCAGUCAUCUUCAAUAUCAUAAAAGAACCCAUACUGGAGAGAAACCCUAUGAAUGUCAUCAAUGUGGUCAAGCCUUUAAAAAAUGCAAUCAUCUCCAACGUCAUAAAAGAACCCAUACUGGAGAGAAACCCUAUGAAUGUCAUCAAUGUGGUAAAGCCUUUAAAAAAUGCAGUCUUCUCCAACGUCAUAAAAGAACACAUACUGGAGAGAAACCAUAUGAAUGUAAUCAUUGUGG